GAGAAACACAAUUAAAACCACACCUGAACAAGUUUGUUCACGUGAGAAGUCAUUACAAAACAUGCUGCGCCAUCAUCCUC